rnacentral:rRNA from 1 species
AGUGAACGCUGGCGGUAGGCCUAACACAUGCAAGUCGAACGGCAGCACCGUAAGAGCUUGCUCUUACGGGUGGCGAGUGGCGGACGGGUUAGGAAUACAUCGGAAUCUACUUUUUCGUGGGGGAUAACGUAGGGAAACUUACGCUAAUACCGCAUACGACCUACGGGUGAAAGCAGGGGAUCUUCGGACCUUGCGCGAUUGAAUGAGCCGAUGUCGGAUUAGCUAGUUGGCGGGGUAAAGGCCCACCAAGGCGACGAUCCGUAGCUGGUCUGAGAGGAUGAUCAGCCACACUGGAACUGAGACACGGUCCAGACUCCUACGGGAGGCAGCAGUGGGGAAUAUUGGACAAUGGGCGCAAGCCUGAUCCAGAAAUACCGCGUGGGUGAAGAAGGCAUUCGGGUUGUAAAGCCCUUUUGUUGGGAAAGAAAAGCAGCAGGUUAAUACCCCGCUGUUCUGACGGUACACAAAGAAUAAGCACCGGCUAACUUCGUG